AGCCCAAAACCCCUUCCUGGUUAAUUGAAUGACUCCUUGUUAAGAAAAUAGAAAACUUUCAAGAAUAAUUCUUUGUGCACCGCAUGUGUGCAGCAAAAAUGCACCGUCCCAUCUUAUUGGGUCAUUUAGCCAAUGCUUUCCAACAUGCAUUUAAUGUCUGUAGUUUUACUUUUUCGUUUGAAAUUUUGAACGAUAAAAAUACCUCUCUUCUUUUGAAAAAAUUAUGAUAUCCUGCGGUUAAAUAAUGACUUACCGUAAAACAUGAAGUCAUAAUUUUUCUUCAGAAGUCAUAAAGAGAAAAAGAUAUUUUCGUCAUUAAAAAUUUAUAAAAUAACAAAAAUAUUUCUCCAUUUUUUAUAACAUCUUAUGAUUAAAUUAUGACUCGUUGUUGUACAGAAAGUCAUAAUUUUUGAGCUUAGAUUAAAUUAUGACAGAAAUUCAGUCGGUACAUACAGCGUAGAUGCUGCCAACACUUUUGAGCAAAGGCACAAUGAACAAUUGCAUGAGCACAAUCCUCAAUUUGGGUAGAACAUAAAUCACAGAACCAAUUAUCAAUCGGAAUGAUAUUACAGUGACC
rnacentral:lncRNA from 1 species